rnacentral:rRNA from 1 species
GGUUAAGCGACUAAGCGUACACGGUGGAUGCCCUGGCAGUCAGAGGCGAUGAAGGACGUGCUAAUCUGCGAUAAGCGUCGGUAAGGUGAUAUGAACCGUUAUAACCGGCGAUUUCCGAAUGGGGAAACCCAGUGUGUUUCGACACACUAUCAUUAACUGAAUCCAUAGGUUAAUGAGGCGAACCGGGGGAACUGAAACAUCUAAGUACCCCGAGGAAAAGAAAUCAACCGAGAUUCCCCCAGUAGCGGCGAGCGAACGGGGAGCAGCCCAGAGCCUGAAUCAGUGUGUGUGUUAGUGGAAGCGUCUGGAAAGGCGCGCGAUACAGGGUGACAGCCCCGUACACAAAAAUGCACAUGCUGUGAGCUCGAUGAGUAGGGCGGGACACGUGGUAUCCUGUCUGAAUAUGGGGGGACCAUCCUCCAAGGCUAAAUACUCCUGACUGACCGAUAGUGAACCAGUACCGUGAGGGAAAGGCGAAAAGAACCCCGGCGAGGGGAGUGAAAAAGAACCUGAAACCGUGUACGUACAAGCAGUGGGAGCACGCUUAGGCGUGUGACUGCGUACCUUUUGUAUAAUGGGUCAGCGACUUAUAUUCUGUAGCAAGGUUAACCGAAUAGGGGAGCCGAAGGGAAACCGAGUCUUAACUGGGCGUUAAGUUGCAGGGUAUAGACCCGAAACCCGGUGAUCUAGCCAUGGGCAGGUUGAAGGUUGGGUAACACUAACUGGAGGACCGAACCGACUAAUGUUGAAAAAUUAGCGGAUGACUUGUGGCUGGGGGUGAAAGGCCAAUCAAACCGGGAGAUAGCUGGUUCUCCCCGAAAGCUAUUUAGGUAGCGCCUCGUGAAUUCAUCUCCGGGGGUAGAGCACUGUUUCGGCAAGGGGGUCAUCCCGACUUACCAACCCGAUGCAAACUGCGAAUACCGGAGAAUGUUAUCACGGGAGACACACGGCGGGUGCUAACGUCCGUCGUGAAGAGGGAAACAACCCAGACCGCCAGCUAAGGUCCCAAAGUCAUGGUUAAGUGGGAAACGAUGUGGGAAGGCCCAGACAGCCAGGAUGUUGGCUUAGAAGCAGCCAUCAUUUAAAGAAAGCGUAAUAGCUCACUGGUCGAGUCGGCCUGCGCGGAAGAUGUAACGGGGCUAAACCAUGCACCGAAGCUGCGGCAGCGACGCUUAUGCGUUGUUGGGUAGGGGAGCGUUCUGUAAGCCUGUGAAGGUGUGCUGUGAGGCAUGCUGGAGGUAUCAGAAGUGCGAAUGCUGACAUAAGUAACGAUAAAGCGGGUGAAAAGCCCGCUCGCCGGAAGACCAAGGGUUCCUGUCCAACGUUAAUCGGGGCAGGGUGAGUCGACCCCUAAGGCGAGGCCGAAAGGCGUAGUCGAUGGGAAACAGGUUAAUAUUCCUGUACUUGGUGUUACUGCGAAGGGGGGACGGAGAAGGCUAUGUUGGCCGGGCGACGGUUGUCCCGGUUUAAGCGUGUAGGCUGGUUUUCCAGGCAAAUCCGGAAAAUCAAGGCUGAGGCGUGAUGACGAGGCACUACGGUGCUGAAGCAACAAAUGCCCUGCUUCCAGGAAAAGCCUCUAAGCAUCAGGUAACAUCAAAUCGUACCCCAAACCGACACAGGUGGUCAGGUAGAGAAUACCAAGGCGCUUGAGAGAACUCGGGUGAAGGAACUAGGCAAAAUGGUGCCGUAACUUCGGGAGAAGGCACGCUGAUACGUAGGUGAAGUCCCUCGCGGAUGGAGCUGAAAUCAGUCGAAGAUACCAGCUGGCUGCAACUGUUUAUUAAAAACACAGCACUGUGCAAACACGAAAGUGGACGUAUACGGUGUGACGCCUGCCCGGUGCCGGAAGGUUAAUUGAUGGGGUCAGCGCAAGCGAAGCUCUUGAUCGAAGCCCCGGUAAACGGCGGCCGUAACUAUAACGGUCCUAAGGUAGCGAAAUUCCUUGUCGGGUAAGUUCCGACCUGCACGAAUGGCGUAAUGAUGGCCAGGCUGUCUCCACCCGAGACUCAGUGAAAUUGAACUCGCUGUGAAGAUGCAGUGUACCCGCGGCAAGACGGAAAGACCCCGUGAACCUUUACUAUAGCUUGACACUGAACAUUGAGCCUUGAUGUGUAGGAUAGGUGGGAGGCUUUGAAGUGUGGACGCCAGUCUGCAUGGAGCCGACCUUGAAAUACCACCCUUUAAUGUUUGAUGUUCUAACGUUGACCCGUGAUCCGGGUUGCGGACAGUGUCUGGUGGGUAGUUUGACUGGGGCGGUCUCCUCCUAAAGAGUAACGGAGGAGCACGAAGGUUGGCUAAUCCUGGUCGGACAUCAGGAGGUUAGUGCAAUGGCAUAAGCCAGCUUGACUGCGAGCGUGACGGCGCGAGCAGGUGCGAAAGCAGGUCAUAGUGAUCCGGUGGUUCUGAAUGGAAGGGCCAUCGCUCAACGGAUAAAAGGUACUCCGGGGAUAACAGGCUGAUACCGCCCAAGAGUUCAUAUCGACGGCGGUGUUUGGCACCUCGAUGUCGGCUCAUCACAUCCUGGGGCUGAAGUAGGUCCCAAGGGUAUGGCUGUUCGCCAUUUAAAGUGGUACGCGAGCUGGGUUUAGAACGUCGUGAGACAGUUCGGUCCCUAUCUGCCGUGGGCGCUGGAGAAUUGAGGGGGGCUGCUCCUAGUACGAGAGGACCGGAGUGGACGCAUCACUGGUGUUCGGGUUGUCAUGCCAAUGGCACUGCCCGGUAGCUAAAUGCGGAAGAGAUAAGUGCUGAAAGCAUCUAAGCACGAAACUUGCCCCGAGAUGAGUUCUCCCUGACUCCUUGAGAGUCCUGAAGGAACGUUGAAGACGACGACGUUGAUAGGCCGGGUGUGUAAGCGCAGCGAUGCGUUGAGCUAACCGGUACUAAUGAACCGUGAGGCUUAACCUU